GGAGCUGGUUCCAGGAAAGAAGGGCACAUGAGCAAACAUGAUGGCCCCUUUAUGAGAGGUAAUUUACUGAAAUGCACAGCGAUUACCUGCUCACCCAGCCCUGAUGUAAUUAAAAAUGGCAGGCUAGGGGCUCUGUUUCCCCCGGCUCUGGCAGAGAAACCUGGGUUUCGACUUGUGAAGCUUGAGGUUGGAUGUGGGAAUUGGCUUGGAGUCAUAGGCGAUGAGAGGGACAUUAGGAUAUUAUGAAGCCCGUGAACUCAACUCCUGAGAAGGACGCAGCAGAGCGAGAGAAAAGAUGGAAUAAAAAGGCCUACCUCAUUGGGCUCGUGUGGGUGAGGAGAACUGAAGAGUCUGAGAGCGCGGCACGAGCCAGAGGCUACGGAAAACACUGCCCUCCUACACUCCACCUUGGAGAGACCCAGAAAAGAACAAGCUUCAUUUGUAAAAAAGGAAAACAACUCAGGCAAUGGGGGUGGCUUAAAGGCACUCUACAGUGUGCAGAUGCCUUCCACUUCUUCCAUCUGCCCUGUCUCUCCAAGAACCCCUAUGGCCCCGGUCUCAGAACAGAGCUGAGUGCAGAAAUGAAAAUCUAUGGCUCUGUGUUCCAAAACGAUGAAGAAUUUCAAGAUGGUGGCAGUGGUAAAAUCUUUCUCCAGGAAAAAUCUGUCCUUGGCCCAAUGUGUAAACACUUGCUGAGUAUUGUGAAACCAGCAACUUGUUCACAAUUCUUCUGAAUUUCUUGGGAAAUUUGAAGUGGAGUACCUGUACCAACAUGAAAUGACACGAAUUUAAGUGACGCUCAACAACGAAAAGCAAAAAGAACCAAAGAGGAAGCAACUGAAACAACAUCUGGAUGUAUUUAAAAAUAUACAAUGCCUCCAAAAUCAGGUGUCAUUAAUGAAAAUUCUGAAGAAAUGCCACCGGACAUAGCCAACGCACCUACGCUGUUGUUAUUCAUUUCCUGCUUUUCACAGAAAACAAUUUUGUUGCAUGGAAGAUCGUGAACUUCAAAGGGCAGAGGGGAAACUGUCCCUUGGCCUCUACCCCUCCAAGGCCCCACUUUUUUGUCAACACUCCUUGGACGCAGCAGAAGUAUGAACAUAAUAUGGUCCUGAAUGAGGCUGAGUCUUUGGGCGCAGAAGACCCGGGUUAAUAAAAAUAGGAAGGUAAGAAAAGAAAAGAAAAAUCAAGACACAUCAUAGGACUAAAUUCCUAUUAUUUAUCCACUCAGGAUUGACCACCCCUUUGGGCCAGAUAGUUGUACCCCCAUGUACCAGGUGGGCACAUGAAGACACAAGAAGUGCUGUGAUGGUUCAUUUUGCACGUCACCUUGCGUGGAGUAUGC
rnacentral:lncRNA from 1 species